UGGGUAGUCCGCACGAGCGCACCUUGUCAUUAGUUGCUACAUUUAGUUGGGCACUCUAAUGAGACUGCCGGUGACAAACCGGAGGAAGGUGGGGAUGACGUCAAGUCCUCAUGGCCCUUAUAGGUAGGGCUACACACGUCAUACAAUGGAUGGUACAGAGGGUCGCCAACCCGCGAGGGGGAGCUAAUCCCAUAAAACCAUUCGUAGUCCGGAUCGCAGUCUGCAACUCGACUGCGUGAAGUCGGAAUCGCUAGUAAUCGCGGAUCAGAAUGUCGCGGUGAAUACGUUCCCGGGUCUUGUACACACCGCCCGUCACACCAUGGGAGCGGGUUCUGCCAGAAGUAGUUAGCCUAACCGCAAGGAGGGCGAUUACCACGGCAGGGUUCGUGACUGGGGUGAAGUCGUAACAAGGUAGCCGUAUCGGAAGGUGCGGCUGGAUCACCUCCUUUCU
rnacentral:rRNA from 1 species